UGGCAUCUUGGAAGAGACCGACGGUGUCAGUUUUGAUAUAUUUACAAUGAUCAUGGACUGGUUGAACGAACAGGAAUGCAGUAAUUACGAGAAGAAAUGUAGACUGGACGAUGCAUUUAUCAGAAUUGGCCGAUAUGAUAUGCAAGAUUCUCUUGGGACCAUUGAAUAUCGACAUAGAGCUAAUACACUUCAAGAACAUCCCCAUCCGAAAGCACAACAGUUUGAUCAUGAGAGUCUGUUUGAUGAUGAUAUAGUUCAAUUAGCGAAAUAUGUCAAAUAUCUUCCGCGGGGGAAAAUAAUGGAGUUUUG